rnacentral:rRNA from 1 species
CGAAAGCCUGACGGAGCAAUACCGCGUGAGGGAUGAAUGCCUAUGGGUUGUAAACCUCUUUUUUCAGGGAGGAAUAAAUGACGUGUACCUGAAGAAUAAGCAUCGGCUAACUCCGUGCCAGCAGCCGCGGUAAGACGGAGGAUGCAAGUGUUAUCCGGAAUCACUGGGCGUAAAGCGUCUGUAGGUGGCUUAAUAAGUCAACUGUUAAAUCUUGAAGCUCAACUUCAAAAUCGCAGUCGAAACUAUUAGACUAGAGUAUAGUAGAGGUAAAGGGAAUUUCCAGUGGAGCGGUGAAAUGCGUAGAGAUUGGAAAGAACACCGAUGGCGAAGGCACUUUACUGGGCUAUUACUGACACUCAGAGACGAAAGCUAGGGUAGCAAAUG